UUAGGAAUAUUCGUCAAUGGGGGAAAGCCCUGAACGAGCAAUGCCGCGUGAAGGAUGACGGUCCUCUGGAUUGUAAACUUCUGUUGUUAGGGAAGAACGACCUAAGUAGGAAAUGACUUAGGAGUGACGGUACCUUUCAAGAAAGCUCCGGCUAACUACGUGCCAGCAGCCGCGGUAAUACGUAGGGAGCGAGCGUUAUCCGGAUUUAUUGGGUGUAAAGGGUGCGUAGGCGGCUUCUUAAGUUUGUAGUCUAAGCCCGGAGCUUAACUCCGGUUCGCUACAAAAACUGAGUUGCUUGAGUAUGGUAGAGGCAAGUGGAAUUUCUAGUGUAGCGGUUAAAUGCGUAGAUAUUAGAAGGAACACCAGUGGCGAAGGCGACUUGCUGGGCCAUUACUGACGCUGAGGCACGAAAGCGUGGGGAGCAAAUAGGAUUAGAUACC
rnacentral:rRNA from 1 species